rnacentral:lncRNA from 1 species
ACAAUCGAGACAACGUCUAGUUCCUUCGUUCCUUUCGUCAAUUGCUGAAUUAUACUUUCCACAUCAUCCUGAAAACCAACUAUUUCCUCGUCAACUGAUAGAAAACUACCAUAGGUGGAAGCCGUUGCACGAGCAGGAGUACUUUUACCGGUCAGAACGUUCACCAUGUCAACUAGCUUUAUCUGCUGCUGUCAGGAGUAAAUAUAACUAUGUUACAACUGAUCGAUCAUCAACAACGACAACAACAACCAACAACAUAUGCAGUGUAUUCCCACAAAUAUAACUACGUUACAACUGAUUGAUCAUCAACAACGACAACAACAACAACAUACGCAGUGUAUUCCCACCUAGCAGGGUCUGGGGAGGGUAAAAUCUACGUAGUCCAUACCACCACCUCCGAAGAAGUAGAGAGGUUGUUUCCGACAGACCCCAGCUCAAGACAAAAAGACAGUAGAUAAAGUCGUAAACUGAUUCAUCGAUCGCUUCAGAAUUAUUUAAAUUGGCAAACAAGUCAAAGUUCAACAAAUAUAUUAGAUCUAGUGAUUUAAACACUAUGUUCAUAGUUUCCUAGAAAAGAUCUUUUCCUAAUAUUCAUAGUAUCUAAAAUUCAAUCUUGAUCUCUUCUGGUAAAUAUUUUGAGUUAAUGGUCAAAAACACACCUUUACUAUCACUUUUUCGCGAGUUUCACACCUCAACUAUCCAUUGUUCUCUUCACCUAUCUAAUCUAUCAACAACAACAACAUACCCAGUGUAUUCCCACCUACUGGGGUCUAGGGAGGGUAGAGUGUACGCAGACCACACCACUAACUCAGGUGAAGUAGAGAGGUUGUUUCUGAUAGACCCCCGACUUAGAACCUAUCUAAUCUAUCACUCUCUUGAUAUUAAAAAACACCUCAAAUUUUAAGAUCUCCUGUUCUUAAAGCCUCUUUUCUCAUACUACUUACUACGCGUGCGUGUCAGAUCUUUCAAAAAUAGUGCAUUUUUAAGGAUCCGACGCGGUUUGGCAUCAUUUCUUGAGAGGAGUCCACAGCAUAGCUACUUGAGAAAAUUUGGCUAAUUGGCCUUUUUGAGUUUCCAAUUAACAAAAUGACCUACUUUCAUUUUUUUCAUUAUAAAUAAAAUUAAAAACAAAGAAAACUUUAAGGAAGAAUUGAACGAUAAUAACAUAUUAAAAACUAUAACAGCUAUUUACAAAUAUACUUAAAACAUAAAACUCUAACUCAUUUUUUCAAUUUCAAAUUACUUUUUUCCCUUUCUCUAACUUUUUUCUCCUCCAUAAAACUCAUUCUUUCUUCAACUUUCUCCUUUUUGAAGCUAGUAUUUUAUUCCUAAACGUCCGUUUCCUCACAAAUUUGUUAAGUUUUCUAAUCUCCUUUAAUUUUAGUCCUUUUUUUUCAAAAAAAAGAAGGUUAGUGUAUAUAUAUAUAUAUAUGUAAUCGGUCGGAUCAAUAAUCGAUCUGUCCACAUGUCGGUCGGAUCAAUAAUCAGUCUGGCCAUAUAUCAUUCGGAUCAAUAAUCAAUUAGUCACAUAUAUUGGUCGGAUCAAUAAUCGAUCUGUCCAUAUAUCGGUCGCAUCGAUAAUCGAUCUGUUCAUAUAUCGGUCGGAUUGAUAAUAGAUCAGAUUUUGAACUAAUUUGUAAAAUGUGUAAAAGAUUUCAGUGGGAGUUCUGUUUACAUUCUGUAAGUUUGACUAAUUUGUAACUUUUAAAACUAGUAAAUAAAUUUUAAAUCACAAAUAAAUUUAAAUUUUCAAAAGUUAGUCAUUUUCCUAAAAAAAAUUUAGUGAAAAAAUAGACUUACUCCAAGCUAAUAUAGUGAGGUUUACAUAGCUAAAAAUAUGGAUAAAAUUUACCUUUCUAUAUGUGACAUUUUUGGAAAGUUAAAAAAAGUAUAAUCACAGGAUAAACUAUAUGAUAUCUAAAAUAAGACAUAGUAAUAUGAAAAAUGAUAUAUUUAUAGCUCAAAAAAAAAAAAAAAGAUUAAGAGGAAAUCUAACCUUUAAUUACAAGAAAGUAGUUGCAGAUGAUAGAUUAAAUGCUUGGUUGUUAUUAUAACUUAGUGGUUUUUGGAAUAUGAAAUGAGAGG